rnacentral:lncRNA from 1 species
AUUUUUCUUUGCCAGGGGCUUCCUCUUCACACCUGCCUCUUCUUUUACCUCCAGAGUUAAUCUGGGAUGCCUUUCCAGAUUAUCAUCAGAGAGGAACGAAUAAGCAGAGAGCAAAGUAGCAGCUGAGAAAUGUAUCUGCCUAACAGAACCUUCUAAGAGAAAGUGAAAUAGACAAAGGACAAGAGGCCAAGCAGAGAACAUCCCUGGGCUAAUCAGCCAUAGCCAAAAGGUAGGCGUACAGCAGCCAAAGGGCCCUUUCAGAGAUGAGAGUCUAUGGGUUGGACUUGUCUGUAACAACAGCAUACAACUGUGCCUGAAGCUGCCGGCUGCCACAUCAGGGACAUCUCAGGAAUGUUUUGAUCACCAGAUGGGUACCGCACCCCUGACAACCUCUAUAGAAAAUGCUGAAGAGCAUUUUCUUCGGUUCAUAAAGAAGGUCAAAUCCCAUUUGGUCGAUAACUGCACCACAGCUGGAAGGAAGUACCGAGGGGUGAGAGCAGGCUAACAUGAAAAACAAGUAAAAGACAAAGAGUGGGGUCAGCGAGCAGCUUGGAUCAAUGAAGCCCAAACUCUGGGAAAAUGUAUCUCUGGGUGAACCCCAGGCUUCCAGGAAUCAAUCAACAGCCCUUGAAAAAUUGUGUCUUCCAUAAAAAUGUCACCUGAGCCUUCAGUGUCACAAUGAAGGUGCCAAUAGCCAGGCACAAAAUAAAUGGCCCAUUAAUACUCA